rnacentral:rRNA from 1 species
UCAACUUGAGAGUUUGAUCCUGGCUCAGAACGAACGCUGGCGGCAGGCCUAACACAUGCAAGUCGAGCGAGACCUUCGGGUCUAGCGGCGGACGGGUUAGUAACGCGUGGGAACGUGCCCUUCUCUGCGGAAUAGCCACUGGAAACGGUGAGUAAUACCGCAUACGCCCUUCGGGGGAAAGAUUUAUCGGAGAAGGAUCGGCCCGCGUUAGAUUAGAUAGUUGGUGGGGUAACGGCCUACCAAGUCUACGAUCUAUAGCUGGUUUUAGAGGAUGAUCAGCAACACUGGGACUGAGACACGGCCCAGACUCCUACGGGAGGCAGCAGUGGGGAAUCUUAGACAAUGGGCGCAAGCCUGAUCUAGCCAUGCCGCGUGUGUGAUGAAGGUCUUAGGAUCGUAAAGCACUUUCGCCAGGGAUGAUAAUGACAGUACCUGGUAAAGA